UAAAGCGUGCGCAGGCGGUUUGUAAGUCUGAUGUGAAAUACCCCGGGCUCAACCUGGGAAUUGCAUUGGAGACUGCAAGGCUAGAAUCUGGCAGAGGGGGUAGAAUUCCACGUGUAGCAGUGAAAUGCGUAGAUAUGUGGAGGAACACCGAUGGCGAAGGCAGCCCCCUGGGUCAAGAUUGACGCUCAUGCACGAAAGCGUGGGGAGCAAACAGGAUUAGAUACCCUUGU
rnacentral:rRNA from 1 species